CCUGAUAUUCCGCUAUCAGUAGCCUACCGACACAUGCGACUUCGGCAACGAGGUGGUGUGAAGCUGUCGGGACAAUGUAGACCUCCCAUGAGGGAAAGGUCCUUCCGCGAGGGAGGGCCAAAUCUGCCAGCAUCAAGGCGGAUGGGUCG
rfam:Bordetella petrii strain DSM 12804, complete genome